GUAGGUGGCAAGCGUUGUCCGGAAUUAUUGGGCGUAAAGCGCGCGCAGGCGGUCCUUUAAGUCUGAUGUGAAAGCCCGCGGCUCAACCGUGGAGGGUCAUUGGAAACUGGGGGACUUGAGUACAGAAGAGGAAAGCGGAAUUCCAAGUGUAGCGGUGAAAUGCGUAGAGAUUUGGAGGAACACCAGUGGCGAAGGCGGCUUUCUGGUCUGUAACUGACGCUGAGGCGCGAAAGCGUGGGGAGCAAACAGGAUUAGAUACCCUGGUAGUCCACGCCGUAAACGAUGAGUGCUAAGUGUUAGGGGGUUUCCCGCCCCCCUUAGUGCUGCAGCUAACGCAUUAAGCACUCCGCCUGGGGAGUACGGCCCGCAAGGCUG
rnacentral:rRNA from 1 species